rnacentral:rRNA from 1 species
UACGGAGGGUGCGAGCGUUGUCCGGAAUCACUGGGCGUAAAGGGUGCGUAGGCGGUCGGGUAAGUCGGAUGUGAAAUCUCAGGGCUCAACCCUGAAACUGCAUUCGAUACUGCCUGGCUAGGGUACUGGAGAGGAGACUGGAAUUUACGGUGUAGCAGUGAAAUGCGUAGAUAUCGUAAGGAAGACCAGUGGCGAAGGCGGGUCUCUGGACAGUUCCUGACGCUGAGGCACGAAGGCCAGGGGAGCAAACGGG